rnacentral:misc_RNA from 1 species
GAGAGAGAGAGAGAGAGAGAGAGGGAUUUUUCGUUUUAAUUGAAUAUCUGUAUUGGUUAGAAAUAAGAAUAUGGGAAUUAGCAUAAAAUCCCCUUGUGCUUAGCUGUGGAGGGAAACGAGGGAGCUAAGGAAGAGCUUUUUCUUUUAUUUAUUAUUAUCUCCAUUAGAGAGAUUCCAAUGGCCAUAGGAUAGGACGAGAAUCACGAGUCUUCCAUCUG